rnacentral:tRNA from 1 species
GGCGAGAUGGCCGAGCGGUCUAAGGCGCCAGACUAAGGAUCAGGGCAUUCGAUGCCCGCUACAUCUGGUCCGAAAGGGCGUGGGUUCGAAUCCCACUCUCGUCA